rnacentral:lncRNA from 1 species
CCAAAUUGAGACACUUAAUAGUUAAGGGAUCAAAUUGAGAAAAUAAAAUAAGUUAAGGGACAGUGGGAUGUAUUAAGCCUAAAAAAUACUAAGCUAACUUUCUCCACAGCCGGUUGCUAUGGACAGGUGUCCUGGAAAAAGCAACUUUCCCAUGAUGGGAAAGAAGUGUGCUUUCCCAGGUUAAACUGCACCCACUGAUUGUAUAUCAAGUGUUCAACCAAACUUAUUCUUUGUAAUAUGUUUGUUAGGAAGUGUCUUGCUUUUGUGAUUGUGCAUAUGAAGUAUCUUGCUUGUGUGCUUGAGUAGUUGACGUCUCUUGCUUGUGUGCUUGCGAAAUUGUAAUCUUUUGUGAUUAUAGUGAAAAAUGUCCUUGGAAGUGCAAGGGGGUUUGGACUACUUCUGGAUUGUGGAAGAAUUGUUUGUGUCUCUCUUCUCUCUCUCUCUC